UAAGGCGGUGCCUAACUCGACGUUUCGCCCGGAGGUUGAUAUGAGCUACGCUGAUAUCAGAUGUUGGACGGCAGGCACCUUGUUGUGCGUCAUUCGAAGUUUAUGUAGCGCUUCCCGAAGGGGCUGACAUAAGAAGGUGAAUGAGCCACU
rnacentral:sRNA from 1 species